rnacentral:rRNA from 1 species
AUUGAACGCUGGCGGCAGGCUUAACACAUGCAAGUCGAGCGGGGGAAGGUAGCUUGCUUCCGGACCUAGCGGCGGACGGGUGAGUAAUGCUUAGGCAUCUGCCUAUUAGUGGGGGACAACAUCUCGAAAGGGAUGCUAAUACCGCAUACGUCCUACGGGAGAAAGCAGGGGAUCUUAGGACCUUGCGCUAAUAGAUGAGCCUAAGUCGGAUUAGCUAGCUGGUGGGGUGAAGGCCUACCAAGGCGACGAUCGGUAGCGGGUCCGAGAGGAUGAUCCGCCACACUGGGACGGAGACACGGCCCAGAAGCCUACGGGAGGCAGCAGGGGGGAACAGUGGACAAGGGGAGGAACCCUGAUCCAUCCAAGCCGCGUGUGUGAAGAAGGGCGUAGGGUUGUGAAGGACGUUAAGCGAGGAGGAGGGUACUUUAGUUAAUGGCGAGAAAUAAUGGACGUUACUCGCAGAAUAAGCACCGGCUAACUCGGUG